rnacentral:lncRNA from 1 species
UUGGUUCAUCAGCCGAGUCCAUUCAGUUGUAAGACUAGAUCCAUAUUGAGUUACAGUAGAGCCUAUAGAAGCCCAUACCCAGUCUCUUGGCCCAUUGAUCUAGUUGGUUAUGCAAUUGUUGAGGUUGGUUCAUUGGCCGAGUCCAUUCAGUUGUAAGACUAGAUCCAUAUUGAGUUACAGUAGAGCCUAUAGAAGCCCAUACCCAGUCUCUUGGCCCAUUGAUCUAGUUGGUUAUGCAGUUGUUGAGGUUGGUUCAUCGGCCGAGUCCAUUCAGUUGCAAGACCCAUAUUGAGUUACAAUAGAGCCUAUAGUAGCCCAUACCCAGUCUCAUCUGGUGCAACUCCAUGUGCUCGAUAAUAGCCCAUACCUAGUCUCAUCUGGUACAACUCCACGUGCUAGAUAAGUCAAAUAGUAGGGUCUCCGAAUGGCUCCGGCUCUUCAACAUCUCCCCAUCAUCAUCCUCAUUGGCUCUUCAACAUCUCCCCG